rnacentral:rRNA from 1 species
UACGAAGGGGGCUAGCGUUGUUCGGAAUUACUGGGCGUAAAGGGCGCGUAGGCGGUCCUGAUCGUCGGAUGUGAAAGGCCUGGGCUCAACCUGGGAAUGGCAUCCGAUACGGCGGGACUGGAGUGUGGGAGAGGUUGGUGGAAUUCCUGGUGUAGCGGUGAAAUGCGCAGAUAUCAGGAAGAACACCAAUGGCGAAAGCAGCUUUCUGGGACGGUACUGACGCUGAGACGCGAAAGCGUGGGGAGCGAACAGG